ACUACGGGAGGCUGCAGUGGGGAAUAUUGCACAAUGGGGGAAACCCUGAUGCAGCGACGCCGCGUGAGUGAAGAAGCGUUUCGGCGCGUAAAGCUCUGUCAGCGGGGAAGAAACACGGUUCGCGAGAGCCGCGGACGGUACCCGACCAAGAAGCCCCGGCUAACUACGUGCCAGCAGCCGCGGUAAUACGUAGGGGGCUAGCGGUAUCCGGAUUCACUGGGUGUUAAGGGAGCGUAGACGGCGAGACAAGUCUGGCGUGAAAAGCCGUGGGCCAACCCCGGGACUGCUCUGGAAACUGCCUGGAUGGAGUACAGGUGAGGUAAGUGGAAUUCCGAGUGUAGCGGUGAAAUGCGUAGAUAUUAGGAGGAACACCAGUGGCGAAGGCGGCUUACUGGACUGUAACUGACGUUGAGGCUCGAAAGCGUGGGGAGCAAACAGGAUUAGAUACCCUUGUAGUC
rnacentral:rRNA from 1 species